AGUGAACGCUGGCGGUAGGCCUAACACAUGCAAGUCGAACGGCAGCACAGUAAGAGCUUGCUCUUACGGGUGUCGAGUGGCGGACGGUUGCGGAAUACAUCGGAAUCUACUUUUUCGUGGGGGCUAACGUCGGGAAACUUCCGCUAAUACCGCAUACGACCUACGUGUGAAAGCAGGGGUUCUUCGGACCUUUCGCGAUUGUAUGAGCCGAUGUCGGAUUAGCUAGUUGGCGGGGUAAAGGCCCACCACGGCGACGAUCCGUAGCUGGUCUGAGAGAAUGGACAGACAGACUGGAAGAGAGACAGGGCCCAGACCCCUGCGGUAGGCCGCAGUGGGGAAUAUUGGACGAGGGGGGCAAGCCUGAUACAGCCAUACGGGGUGGGUGAAGAAGGCCUUCGGGUUGGAAAGUGCUUUUGUUGGGAAAGAAAAGCAGCAGGUUAAUACCCCGCGGUUCUGACGGUACCCAAAGAAUAAGCACCGGCUAACUUCGUG
rnacentral:rRNA from 1 species